CCUACGGGCGGCAGCAGUGGGGAAUAUUGCGCAAUGGGCGAAAGCCUGACGCAGCGACGCCGCGUGAGGGAUGAAGGUCUUCGGAUCGUAAACCUCUGUCAGCAGGGAAGAACGGUCACUGUGCUAAUCAGCAGUGAAUUGACGGUACCUGCAAAGGCAGCACCGGCUAACUCCGUGCCAGCAGCCGCGGUAAUACGGAGGGGGCGAGCGUUACUCGGAAUUACUGGGCGUAAAGCGCUCGUAGGCGGUAUGGUAAGUUAAGGGUGAAAUCCCCGCGCUCAACGUGGGAACUGCCUUUGAAACUGGCAAACUGGAGUGUGUGAGAGGAGAGUGGAAGUCCAGGUGUAGGAGUGAAAUCCGUAGAUAUCUGGAGGAACAUCAGUGGCGAAGGCGACUAGCUGGAACAUAACUGACGCUGAGGAGCGAAAGCGUGGGUAGCAAACAGGAUUAGAUACCCGAGUAGUC
rnacentral:rRNA from 1 species